AGCGCUGAAAGCAUCUAAGCGCGAAACUUGCCUCGAGAUGAGUUCUCCCUGAGACCCUGAGUCUCCUGAAGGGACGUUGAAGACUACGACGUUGAUAGGCCGGGUGUGUAAGCGCAGCGAUGCGUUGAGCUAACCGGUACUAAUGACCCGUGAGGCUUAACCUUACAACACCAGAAGCGUUCUG
rnacentral:rRNA from 1 species